rnacentral:rRNA from 1 species
UACGUAGGGCGCGAGCGUUGUCCGGAAUUAUUGGGCGUAAAGAGCUCGUAGGCGGUCUGUUGCGUCGGCUGUGAAAACCCGGGGCUCAACUCCGGGCCUGCAGCCGAUACGGGCAGACUAGAGUUCGGCAGGGGAGACUGGAAUUCCUGGUGUAGCGGUGAAAUGCGCAGAUAUCAGGAGGAACACCGGUGGCGAAGGCGGGUCUCUGGGACGGUACUGACGCUGAGACGCGAAAGCGUGGGGAGCGAACAGG